AUUCAAAUGGAUAACAUCCAUGACAUGUAAAUUAGGCUAUGUCACCCCUAAAGUAUGGGUGCAGCGUAAAAUUCUGAAUCUUUUCAGGAUGAUGAUGAUGAUGAUGAUGAUGACGAGACCCUCACAGCCCCCUCCGACACACACAUGCAGGAGGACUUGGAGGAGCUUUCCCCUCCUGAAGCCUCCCUCCCAGGGACCUCACAGUCAGACAAAGUACAGUUUCUCCUUCCUUGUUUAAUUACUGAAUAUAAUGCAUACUAGGCUAAUGUGUACAACAUGGGGUGGGGGUUGUGUAGGCCACAGUGGACAAUGUCCGCAGUUUAUACAAGAAGGUGCUGGAGCUGGACCGCACAAAGAAGAGGCUGGAGAUCAGAAAGCUGGAAUUAGAAAUUGAAAAGCUGGAACAUGAGAAGAAGGUAUUGUCUUAUCACUCCAUUAAUAUAUAGGCUACCCACACCCUAUAUGUGUGUCAUUGAUCUGGCUUUUCGUCACCUUUUCUUCUUGCAGGAAAGAGAGUCAUCUAAUAAAUGAAUAAUAUCAGA